GCCGGGGUGUUUUGGAAGAAAUCUAGCAUGAGAGCAAAACAUUGACCGACGUGUAUUUUCAAAAGCAAAACUACGUCACAUAGCACAACUUAAGGCCGACAAGAUUGUUCAAGGAACACAAACCAAGAAAAAGGGGCCACGUUUUGAGAACAGGAAUGAGAAAUACCACGAAUUUGAACAAGUGCCAUCCAUUUUUAAGAGAGAUGAGUCUACUACGGAGAAGAGGGACCUUUUGUUUCUAAAGGCUGCCUAUCUGCAGAUUUCCUUUCCCUGUCCGUGCUGAUGACGCUAGAGAACGUUCUGUUUUGUCUUCCUUUCUCGGCUCCUCCCGAGUGUGUAAAAGCAAAUGCACACCCUCAUGGGCCUCUGCAUUGCUAAGUCGGAGGGGCCGUUUGGGGUCUGGAUCCCAUUCCUUGACCAGCGCUCCCAGAGGGUCGCCAUGUAACGGGCCAGCAUAGUAGCUGCUGGAAGGCACCUGUAACGUUCCCGUGGUUCGUCCAUGAGGCCAAUGUGGAGAAAAGACAGGA